UCAAUAUUUUUGGACAAGAGAAAUCAGAGACCAGAUAUAUGAUGAGAAGCAAAAUCUGGUGACCAUCACCGUCGUGUGCUGUAGCCCCGAGAAAAUCCGCGACAAAUUAUGUUGCAAGGGUGGCAAAGUCAUUAAGAGUAUUGAGAUCGUGGAGCCACCAAAGCCCAAGCCACCGCCGGAGAAGCCUAAAGAGCCCGAAAAGCCCAAGCCACCGCUCGAUGAGCCGGAUGACACCACACAGUCAGAGAGACCCACAGUUAGAGUAGUUGAAAAGUCGAAGACACCUGUUUGGUGGCUUGUUUGUUGUUGGGGAAUACUCUGAAGUAUUUUUGCAGGAGACUUUGAAGUCUGGUAUCAGAGCCAGAUUCUAAGGAGAAAACUAGUUACAAUGUCAUCCUUAACAGCAUCCUUAUCUUCUUCUGAUCUCAUUUUACAUAAAUCUAAUUCUAAUAAGUUAGAUUAUCUAUAUGAAAUAUCCAUUGAACAAGAAGCAGUAAAUCCAACCUCCUUACCCCUUAUUAAUCCUUAUUCUGCAUUUGGAAAACAAGCUUUCUCACUAUUAAGGGUCAUCAAAUACUUAAUCAAGCAUCAUCCAAAAGGAGUACGAGAAUAUAUCCAGGCCUCCAAGGUUGAUCAGCAUCAUAUCCUUGCUACAAAAAAAAAACAAUUUAUCCCUCUCUUUAUCCCACCAAACUUUCUUUCUCAAUGGAAGCAACAAGGAUUCACUCAUAUUUAUUUUGGUGCCAUACGUUUUUCCUUAUCUUUGCAUGAAAGAAAAGGUUUACGCAUGGUUGCUAGAAUAGCUCUAUUGGAUACAAGAUUCAAAAAAUAUCAACAUGCAUGUAUUGCGAUAGUCGAAACAACUCUAGACGCAGGAACAGUUUUUAUAACCUUGUUUCCAAAUUUUAAUACGUCUUCAACUUAUGUACCUUUUACUAACGAAAACUCAAAUACUAUAAACAAUCGAAAUUCGCUUCAACCCUGAGUCGUCGCUCAAGUCUCAAGUUCUCUCGUUUAACCCUUGAGCAAAAAUUUGGGCAGCAUGUCCUUUGUAUUUCGCUAUUUUUCAGGCAUUUAUGGUUUCAUUUUUUUUCUCAAUUCAGCCCAAAUUCAACACAUAAGCAAGCUUAACAAAAUAACUCUUCAACUAGGCCCAAUAUUAUCCAAAUACAAGUCAAUUCUAGCAAUGAAACCAUCAAUAUCAAAGCUGGAAACCAGUUUUAAAAAAGAAAUUAUAAGUGGCAGAUGUGUCAUCCUUCGGUAUUUUGAUCAUAACUGCAGUUAGAUAUAUUGGAUCAAGGUAAAUUUUAUGGCGUUUUGAAACUAAAAUAUAGACCUACAUUUUCUAUAAAGACAUUAACACCCAAUUCUCGCAUUUUCAGGGUCAAAACAAGACUGUCAGAAGUACAUGAAAACAAGUCAGGAAUAUUAGAGUUUUUUUUUUUGUGCAGUUAGGAAUGCUCUGGUUAAAUCCUAAGCUAACAUGAUCUGAUUGAUCUGAAAUUUUGUAGGUAGAAAGUUAACUCAAAACCCUAUAACUUUCAUGUUUUGUCCAAAAGCUAAUUCAAUCUAAAACAUGGAGAAAUUUGCAGCCCAGCCUGAUACCAAAAAUAAGGCUGAACUGAAAUUCCCUAUCACAUGCUGGAAUUUCAAAUUUUAACAUUACAAAGUCACACUCAAACCCAUAAUCACUUCAUAAGUUCCAUUUUCAAGUUCAAUAACAUCAUUUACUAGUUAAACAACACUAAUCAAAACUGAAGAAGGCAAACCCUAGUUGAAAAUUCUACUACACCAUCAAAAACUAGAAAAUCAACCAUAACAAGUCAAAAUUAAAAACUUCUAUAUCAAAAUUAGCAAGAUUAAGCAAGAGAAAAGGAAGUUUAGGCCUUAUACCUUCCAAUAACUUCUUGCAAGUGAGAAAAAAACCACUACCUUUUAAAAAUUUCACCACACCAAACCUUCCAAUCACCAAGAGGUAAGUUUAAUCGGUUUGAUUUUGUUGAUUUCACUCAAACAAGGGUUGAUUCAAGGUUGGAGUUGCAAACUUUCUUCUCUCUUUUCCCUCCUCUCACUCUCAGCCAACAAGAAAAAAAAUGAAGAACAAAAGAAGCCAAUUUGAAGAUAAGAAGGAAGGAAAUUUGCUUAGUCAAAGUUGGUUUGAUUUUCGCCAAGUGUCGCUUCAUGGAUUAAUCUCAAAAUAUUUUCUAUUCUCCCUUUUUAUUUAGUCCAAAAUUUCGACUGCCUUAAGGGAUAUUUUGGGGCUAAUUUUGCUAAAAUAAAAGUAAGGAGAUUAAAGUAAUAAAGUAGUGUUCAAGUGGUGUAUUCAAUUAGCAGCAAACGGUGCACAUCGAUUCAAACCUAUUUUCCUUAACUCUUGUGUACUUAUGUUUUAACUUAUGAUUCACUCACUUAUUAGUAGCACUUCUAAUCACACCUUUUCUUUUAUCUAAAACUCACUCUUAACCACCAAAUUUAGAACACACACCUCACCAAUUAAUCACACUACUAAAAUACACAAAAAUCAUAUUUUACCCUAACUAUAAAAUUAAGGGUAAAACUCUUAAUUCUAUUAUAUAUUACAACUAUUAAGAAAGUAAAUUUGUAGUAAAGAUAUUAUAAAAUAAUUUAUUCAAAAUAAAAGGAGAUUUUAAGAAAAUAUGCGGGAUUUUGCAAGUCCUCACAUAAACACUUUGGUGACGUGGUUACAUUUGACCCUACAUACCUGACAAAUAAAUAUAAGAUGCCUUUUGUUCCAUUAACUGGAGUUAAUCAUCAUUACCAGUCAAUUUUGUUUGGGGGUGCUCUGCUUUAGGAUGAAACCGAAGAAUCGUUUGUUUGGUUGUUGAAAACUUGGUUAGAAGCAAUGCUUGGGUGCCUUCUUAAAAGUGUCAAUGUUUGGGUGCCUUCUUAAAAGUGUCAUUACUGCGAUAACAAAUACUGUUAGAAACAACUAAUUGGAGGCCUUUCCCCUUUCGAAACAAAACAACUAAUUGGAGGCCUUUCCCCUUUCGAAAUUCUCCUUUUUUAAAAAAAUAUUAACUAAAGUUUCAAAAAAUUGAAUUUUGAGGUUUCAAGCUUAGGGAGGCAGGAAAAAUUGGUUGAGCCUCUGUACACAAGGUUGAGAAUAAUGCAAAUCCUACUAACUAAACUAGGGUGAAAGGGGGAGAAAUAGAUAAUGCAAUGAAUGGAACCUUGGAAUCCUUUCAAAGCUCGAGUAACUUUUCUUGCACAAGCCUCGCAACGCAUGUCAACCUUGAGAACAAUCUCCUGAACCUCUUCUUCCUUCUUUUCUUCUUUCGUGUCCCCUUCUUCUUCUUUUUUACUAGUGUCUUCUUUGUUUCCCAGUAUUUGUUUCUUUUCCUCCUCCUUGUUCGCUUCCUCUUUCUUCUCCUACAGCAUACCAUGCAUGAGAUCAAUGAGAAAAUGAUAGCAAAACUUAUAGUAGUUACUGGGAUUUCCUUCCAUUCAUUCGAGGGAGCAAUUAGAAUAAUCAUGUGCAAGGAUAUUUGGAAGUAGAAAACUAAAAACUUGCUUCGCCUAUAUCGUCUAAUUCUGACAAGCCCCUCUUCCAAGCUAAUACUACUAAUCAGUAUAGUAGGCAUACAGCAAGCUCGGGGCUUUGGGGUGAAGGAAAAUGGGAAGAGAGGAACAUGUAAUUUAAGUAGCGGGUGGUCGCGGUCUGGUGGUACUGCCUACACUGCCCGGUGCCCACUGCUGCGGCUGCUGCUCCAAAAUUCCAAAUUUCAUUAAAGCGAGUUACUUACGGUGCUGCCCUUCAGCUGACUCAGCACCUCAUAAUUUUGGCCCCCUUGUUAUGAUUCUAUCUCCGACUACGAGUACAUCAUCUGCAAAUGUAGCAGUCGCCUUUGACUGAUUAAAUAGUAGUCUGACACUACCGUAAUUUAGGAAAAAAUAUAUAUAGUAAAUAAAAUCUUGCAUGCGUGGAAGAGGAAAUACUAAGAAUUAUUACGGAGAUGGAUGGGAAAGGAUUCCAACUUUGUAAAAGCCCUUGGAGUUAUCCUGCAAGCAAAAGCCAAACGAAUGGUCGGCCUGGCAAGGGCUAUCAGGAUCUUUAAAAAAGAAAAGUUGGAAUCUAGCGGGACCCCCCCCAAUUUAUUACCAGUUUUCAGGAAACCAUUCACUGUAUAUAUGUGACGCUUCUGGCUUCCGCUCAUGUAUAUAACCAUUCACUGUAACUAUUGUGUGUGUAUAUAUAUAUAUAUAUAUAGGAGUAUGUUUUUAAUUUGAUGACAACUGUAACUAUUUUAACUGCAGCUGGAUAAAUAUACUGGACGGACCAUAGCUUCAACAUUGCACGUUAUGGGAAAGAUUGCAAGUUGCUGUUCAAAUGUUUUGACGACAUUUUCAAACUUAGCUAGGCGCAAAAUGUUAAAUAGAAAAACAGACGUACAGGUGCAGGAAAGAAACAAUUAAUGCAGCUCGUCAUUCCAAGAGAAAUCGAACACUGGUAUACGUCUAAAAGUGAGUAGUAAUAAAAAAAAAUAGAAAAGUUGGGGGAAGAAGGAUAAGUUUUGGCGAAUAGACAAAGAGUAACCGACGUCCCGAAGUGGGGCGAUUUUUUUUUGAAAGCUUUGCGUACACUAACAUAUCAUAUAUAGUGAUGACGACGGUAUACUUGUGUAGGAGGGAUGGAAAGGUUAUCCUGACCUGAAAUCACAGAGAAAGAAGCGGCCACCACAAUUUUUAAAGGACGAGGCUGUAACAUUUGACAAAGACGGCAGCCCACUGCAAAAGUGGUCCAAGUUCCAUGGAUCUCAAAUGGUUGAGGAAUUCUUCGAUACUAUCACCAACAACAUGUUGGUACAUGUAGUAGUUAAAUCAAGUCUUGGUUUCCUAGUCGGUAUUGGUUUCUUUAAGUCCAAGUCCAAUUGUAUUCCCUUUGUGAUUUGGAAGCUAAGUUUUAGGAGACAAAGUGGUCUAUAUAAACCACUACUGGUAGCCUUGUUACUGUGAUCCGAGAAUUGCAAACAAUCCAUGAAGUUUGCCUCCUGAAGAUUUUGUCAUCCUUCGUUUCUUUCUUUAGCUGUCCCGUUUGUUUAUAUAUAUAAAUAUUCCGCUGCCAAGCUAUUACUUUGUGUGUGUGAUUCGCUUGAAUUAUUCUAUCCUGUGGGUUAGUUUCCUACAAAGUGGUAUCAGAGCUUUGUCUGAGAUCCUGAUAAAUUAAAAUAUGGAUCCAAAUUAUUUGCACAAUUGUCACGUUUUUAUCUUCGAUGGUAAAAACGAUUUUGAGGUUUGGAGGUCGAUGAUGAAGAAUUUUUUUCAAAAUAUUGGAGUUUAGAAUAUUGUCGAAACAGGAUAUACGGAGUCGAUAGAAGGUAUAGAAUUAUCAAGCGAUGCAGUUAAAGAAUUAGAGAGAAAUAGACAGUUGGAUUGCAAGGUAAUGUACUUUCUCAACACUCAAGUCCAGUUGCAUGUUGCCAAAAAAUUUAUACAUGCAAAGUCGGCAAAAGAGGCUUGGACAAUUUUGGUGAACUCAAAUCGAGGUGCUGCUAACGUGAGAAAAAUCAGAUUGCAGGAACUUAGGAGACAAUUUGAGUUGGCCCAGAUGAAAUCUACGGAGUCAGUUAAAGAUUUUAUUAGCACAAUUAAAGAAAUUGUCAAUGAUAUGGAGUCCAAUGGUGAGAAUUUGGAAAAGGUUAGAGUUGUUGAAAAAGUUUUAAGAUCUCUAACUGCCAAAUUUCACACCAAGAAAACGGUCCUUGAAGCCACAAAGGACCUUGACAAUUUGUCACUUGCUGAAUUGGAAGGUGAAUUGCUGACGUAUGAGAUGUCCCUGAAUUAGCAGCCAUCAGAUACAGUAGAGGAGGUGUUACAAGCCAAGGUAGAUCACCCAAAAGAAAAAGAGGAGGUGAAUCGUAUGGACACAAAUCAAAGGGGCCAGAACUUCAGAGGUAGAGAACGUGGAGGCAGAGGUAACUCUCGUGGUCGUGGAAGAGGUAAUUAUUCUUACCAACCCAGAAACAAUUCUAAUAGGGAUCAGAAAAAUAGUCAACAACAAAGUCAAAAAAAUAAUUUUCAAAGGCGUGAUAGAUCUAAUGUCCAAUGUUAUAAUUGUGGUAAAAUUGGUCAUUAUCAGAAUGAAUGUUGGUCUAAUAGAGAGGUGUAUGCUAAAGUGGCUGAAAAUAGUAGUGAUAGAGAGGAGACUUUAUUGUUUUCUAGUUCUACAUCUGAAGAGUUUAUGAAGAAUGAUUGGUUUAUUGAUUCUGGUUGUAGUAAUCAUAUGUGUGGUAAAAAGGAGAUGUUUUCUGAUUUGGAUGAAUCUUUUCAUGCAUCUGUGAGAUUUGGAAACAAUGAAACAGUGCAUGUUCUUGGAAAAGAAAAAAUCAGAAUUAUCUUGCAAGAUGGGCCUUCGAAUUAUAUUUCUGAUGUUUUCUGUGUACCAAGUUUAUAUCAUAAUUUGUUGAGUUUGGGACAACUGUCUGAGAAAGGUUAUGACUUGCAUUUUAAAUAUGGCGAUGGCACCAUAAGUGAUGAGAAAUUGGGAUUAAUUGCUAAGGUAAAGAUGAACCGUAGUCGUUUAUGGCCCCUUUCUCUUAAUUGUGGCGAUUUACCUUGCUUUAAUUCCAUGACUUGUGAUGAUGCUUGGUUAUGGCAUAUGCGUUUUGGGCAUUUGAAUUUUGAGAGCUUGAAAUUUCUUGAAAGAAAGAAAUUAGUUAUUGGGUUGCCUUCUGUUGAGUUUCCUGACAAGAAGUGUGAGUCUUGUAUUUUGGGAAAGAAGCACAGGGAUCAUUUUCCAAAAGGCAAGACUUGGAGGGCAAAUCGACCACUUGAACUGAUUCAUUCAGAUUUAUGCUCAGUUGAAGUUCCUUCCAAUGGUGGUAGUAAGUAUUUUAUCACCUUCAUUGAUGAUUUCAGUAGGAAGACAUGGGUGUAUUUUUUAAGGAAUAAAUCUGAUGCAUGUGAUGUGUUUAAAAAGUUCAAAAAUUAUAUAGAGAAGCAGAGUGGCUACUCUAUUAAAAUUUUGAGAACUGACUGAGGCACUGAGUAUCUUGUUUGUGAUGACUAUUUAGUGGAAAGUGGUAUAAAACAUCAAUUGACAGCCAGAUAUACACCUAGCAAAAUGGUGUGGCAGAAAGGAAGAAUAGGACUGUGAUGGACAUGGUGAGAUCUAUGAUGCACUUUAAACGUAUUCCUAAAUCUUUUUGGGCAAAAGCAGUCUAUUGUGCUAUUUAUGUUUUGAACAGGUGUCCUACUAGAUGCAAUUUUGGGAAGACCCCACAAGAGGUUUGGACUGGCAUGAAACCGGAUAUCUCUCACUUCAAGGUAUUUGGUUGUCUUGCGUAUGCACAUGUUCCAGAUCAGUUGAGAAAGAAAUUGGAUGACAAAGCAGAGAAGUGUAUUUUUAUUGGAUAUAGUCAUGAGACAAAAGGGUAUAAAUUAUUCAAUCCAAACACAGGAAAUGUGAUUGUUAGCAGAGAUGUGAUUUUUGAUGAACAUGGAGCUUGGAAUUGGUCCAAACAAGAUCCCGAGACAUCGCCAAAGCACCCAUCCAUUUCUCCCAUUAUGGGACCAAGUGCUGAUAAGCAAGCAGUGGAGCAAGUUGUACAACCUCUUGGUGAUCCUUCAUCUUCCGCUAUUCAGGUUGAGACAUCCAGUCGACCACAGAGAGAACGACGCAUGCCAACCUGAUUUGAUGAUUAUGUUGUUGGCACAGAUGAUGAUUUAACUAAUGAAGCAAUUGUAAAUUUUGCUCUUUUUGCAGAUUGUGAUCCUGUCUCAUUUAAAGAAGCUGUCAAAGAUGAUCGUUGGGUUCGUGCAAUGGAUGAAGAAAUUCAUGCCAUUGAGAAAAAUAAUACAUGGGAGUUGACCACUAUCCCACCUGAAAAGAAGUCAAUUGGAGUGAAAUGGGUAUAUAAGACAAAGUAUAAGCCAACAGGAGAGGUGGAUCGCUUCAAAGCGAGAUUGGUUGUCAAAGGCUAUAAGCAGAAGGCAGGUAUUGAUUAUUUUGAAAUUUUUGCACCAGUUGCCAGACUUGAUAUGAUACGUAUGAUUGUAUCACCUGCUGCAAAUAAUUGCUGGAAAAUUCAUCAAAUGGAUGUAAAAUUUGUAUUUUUAAAUGGUUUUCUUCAAGAAGAGGUAUAUGUUGAGCAGCCUGCAGGUUAUGUUAGAAAGGGUCAAGAAGGCAAAGUAUAUAGAUUGAAAAAGGCAUUAUACGGGUUGAAACAAGCUCCUAGAGUUUGGUAUACUCGCAUCGAUACUUAUUUUAUUGAGCAUGAUUUUUUGAGAUGUCCAUAUGAGCAUACUCUGUACAUCAAAUUCAAUCCUGGAGGAGAUGUCCUUAUUGUAUGCUUGUAUGUGGAUGACUUGAUAUUUACAGGUCUCAGGUAUUUAACUUCUACGAGGCCUGACAUCACUUAUGGAGUUGGUUUGAUUAGUAGAUUCAUGGAAUCUCCACGCCAGUCUCACUUGCAAGCUGCUAAGAGAAUUUUGAGAUACAUUCAAGGUACACAAUCUGACGGUAUAUUUUAUUCAUCUUCACAUGAUAACAAUCUUGUUGGAUACACUGAUAGUGAUUGGGCUAGUGACACAAUACAAAGGAGAAGCACUUCUGGUUAUGCAUUUUACUUGGGAUCUGGUGUAUUUUCUUGGUCCUCAAAGAAACAACAGGUGGUUGCUUUGUCCACAGCAGAAGCGGAGUACAUGGCAGCUACAAGUAGUGCUACUCAAGCACUUUGGUUGCGGAGAAUGCUUGGAUUCUUGCAACACAAGCAAGAUGGUCCUACCACAAUAUUUUGUGAUAGCAUGUCUGCUAUUGAGUUGACAAAAAAUCCAGUUUUUCAUGGGCGCAGCACACAUAUUGACAUCAAGUAUCAUUUUAUUCGUGAGUUGGUUUAAGAGCAAGAAAUUGUCAUUGACUAUUGCAAAAGGGAAGAUCAAGUAGCUGAUAUUUUGACAAAGCCGCACAAAUUGGAGAUGUUCAUAAAAUUGAAGAAGAUGCUCGGCAUGGUGAAAUUUGAAGAUCUUGAUUUAAGGGAGGCUAUGUAGUAGUUAAAUCAAGUCUUGGUUUCCUAGUCGGUAUUGGUUUCUUUAAGUCCAAGUCCAAUUUUAUUCCCUUUGUGAUUUGGAAGCUAAGUUUUAGGAGACAAAGUGGUCUAUAUAAACCACUACUGGUAGCCUUGUUACUGUGAGCCGAGAAUUGCAAACAAUCCAUGAAGUUUGCCUCCUGAAGAUUUUGUCGCCCUUCGUUUCUUUCUUUAGCUGUCCCGUUUGUUUAUAUAUAUAAAUAUUCCGCUACCAAGUUAUUACUUUGUGUGUGUGAUUCGCUUGAAUUAUUCUAUCCUGUGGGUUAGUUUCCUACAGUACAUGACACAUUAUUAUUAUGAUUUCAAACCGUACCUAGAAGAUAUAUUUUUGGAUGAAGAAAGACAGACAAUUCAUAUUCAUGUCCAAAGGCAUUUUGCCUGGUGCCUGGCUCUGCAGCCAGUCUCAUGGGCCUCGCUGUGUAGUUUCAAGAGUGAGCCCAUCGAAUUGCUACGAACAGAACUGGGUUUCAAGAUGGGCCGCAUUUCCUUUCCAUUCCUUCUUCAAUUCCUCCAGCGCACGCCAUCCACUCAACUAGUCAAGUGACGAUUAUUCGUUAUUCAAUUCCUCCAGCGUACAUGAUCCACUCAACUGGUCGAGUCAAGUGACUUCGAAUUCGUUAUUCAAUUCCAGGGUACGAACAGGGAUACCUUUAUGGUAGGAAGCCUUUGACCAUUCCUAUCGUAGGCAGCUUCUCAGAGCAUGACACGUGUUGGAGUUGGAUGGAGUGCAAACGGAGAUGUUAAAUUGUUGGAGAACGCGUGAAGAGCAAAUCUCAAAUUUUGGUCUGUGGCCAGAAGCAAAAAAAGCACAAGUUUGGACUUCCGUUUUCCAAAUCAGUAGGUUGGGGUAGGGAAGGGUAAUUGCACGUCAGAACCACUGGCAUUUAUGCAUUUGCAGUUGUACCCGUUAGGAGCGGAAAAAUAUUGAAAAUGCCUUGGACAAAGAAAUAUGCGCAAAGAAGGUACUGAAGUUUUAACAAAUAAUAAAUGUAAAUGUCACACGUGUCAGGGAUAAUAACUUGAAAGAAGGAAAAGUGGAGCAGAGGUAAACGUAGUAGUUCAACGGCAACGUGAAACACAAAGAGAUUGAAGCCUUCAUUAUAUUUAUAUACACAUAUAAAUUUAGUACCCAAGUGUUUAGGUUAAGCAUCCGGUAAAAUGGUCCCAUAACUAUCGUUACGAUAAAUAAAAUAGUUUUAGACAUGAUGUAAUUGGUUAUAAAAAUUUUAGCGACCAUUUGAUUACCCGUUAGACCUAUCCACUUGAAUAGGAUUAUGGGCAAAAAUAAGGGAUUAAAUUUCUCAUCUAAAAUAGUAAGUUAACGUAAUAAAUUAGUAAGUUUUGCAAUCGAAAAGGUAAAUUGUAAUUAAUAUGAAACAUACUUUUUAAAGAGAUAAAUUACAAAAGUAUAUCCCAAAUAUACUUUUGAGGGUGUAAGUUUAUUUGAAGUAAAAGUUUGUUUGUAUACAUAAAUAGUGAUUUUUACUGAUAACAUAGUUAAUUUGAUUAAUGACAAAAAUAUGCUAAUGUAUGGCUAAAAUAUUGUACUAUGCUUAAAAAAACUUAUACGAAGGCCAUAUUUUAGUGUUAUUUGAAAUAACACUAAAAUGUAUUAUUAAUGAUUAAAACUGAGUACCUUACUUAGUAGGUACUGUUAAUAUACUUGUAUACAUAUUUGAUCGUAUGUGAAUAAAUAAGUAUUUUUGAAAUUUGUAGGGAAAUUAAUCUUUUCUUUUGGAGUUUUAAAAGAAACAAAGCGAAAACAUUUUUCCUCAGAGCACAAAAAUUCACAAAUUAAAGUAGUUGGUACAAAAGGGAAAGAGACAUUCUGAAUAUCAUUGUUUAAAGUACUAAAUAAAUGAGAUGUAAAAUGGUUGUUAAAAACAGGUGUAUUGACAUAUAAUAAAGGAAAGUCAUAAAGAGCUAGCCAUUUACAGGAAAAGUUAUCAUUCAUAAAAAUAGCAACGCUUCACGGUUUUCUUAUCAGUCUUGUAACAUAUGAGCAAAGUGGCAAUAAUUAAAAUAGUAUUUUUUUUCGAUUUGUACAUAUUUAAUUAAUAUUUUUUGCUUUUUAAAAAAAUGAAUGAAAAUGUUCUAUGAGAAAACACAUAAGUCAAAAGAAAUGGUCUAAAAGGGAAAAUAAUAGCAGAUACGUACAGUACUUGUAGUUCAUGUUCGAAGGACUAUAGUGCUGUUUUUAAAAAAAUAUCCCGAAAAAUAUCUAAUUCAAAUGGAACCGAUUCUUUACUAUUUAAAAUGUCAAAUCUGUGAUUGUUUUUGAACUGUUAUCCAUUGGUAUCGUAAAGUAUUAUUUUUUCAUCAAAUACCGCCUCUUUAACACCAAUUUUCACAUAAACAAAUUUAUUUAUCGGAUAAAAAGUAUAAAAAUUUAUUUUUGAAUAAAACACUAGCUCUUUAUGGCUUUCCUCCAUUAUAAGAACAGAUUACCCAUUUUUGCAUAAACAAAUUUAUUUUUCGGAUGAAAUAAAAAUAAAUCAGUUUUUCAGUAAAACAGUAACUCAUUAUGGGUUUCCUCCAUUAUAAAAACAGAGUACUCAUUUUAGCCCCUCUAAAAAAAAAUCUUGACUUUGUCACUAACUGAAAUGUUUGUAACUGAGAUUUAUCUAUGGUGAAUGUAUGAAACAUAAUUUUUUCACUGUAUUGAAUUUAUAUGAUGAAAAAUGAAAUAGGUGAAUUGGAUUAGUGAGCAUCAGUUUUGUAAAUGAUUGUGAGAGUAAACUAUAUUAUAACAAUAAAAUACGUUGAAUUGUGAAAAUUAUAAUUGAAACAUGCUCCUAAAUUUUGGAUAUGUGACUUUCCUAGUUGCGAAUUUCUUAAAUUAACAGUUAGUUAUUACUAUGAGUAUUGUGGUAAGUGUGAGAUGUGAAUGUCAGUAAUAACUGUUAGUUAUUAGUCUCAGUAAAAUCAGCAGUAAAUGUGAGAUAUUAAUUGAAAUUUUCAGAUAUCAUUUUACAUGGGUGGUUAUUAUCUGUUAGUUAAAAUUUUGGAGUUUUAAUUUUAUGGGUUAGAAGGGAAAACGUGAGAGAAAUGUGGGACAAACAUGAGCAUGAUUAUAGGAUUUAUACGACCAGUUAUAGGAUUAGUUGUCAGGUAAACAUUUCUUAAUUUUAGAAAUGUAAAAUUGUAAUAAAAUAGUAUUCAGACAACAUGACAAUUUGGAAAGCUCCUUAUCCAAAAUUCCCUCUGCAAUACAUAUAUAUUAGUCUUUUGACCCGUGCUAUGCACGGGAUUAUAUUUCAUAUUAAAAUAAUAUUGUAUAUAUUUAUAUAUUGUGGUACAGAAUAAUAUAUAUAUAUUAUUUUAAAGAAGUGCAUGUUUAACAUGUUGAAAAAAUUUUAAUUUAUAAUGAUUUACAUGAUAGAGAAAUUGUUAACGCAUUUAAGGUGAGGGUUAGGUUGGGUGGUAAGGUGAGAAGAGUUUUCUAAAAAAAAAUCAAUUUAUCAGUACCCAGCAAAACAUAUUAUGUUAUACCCAUAUAUCAAAACUUAUAAUAUAAAAAAAUAAAUUAUAACCAAUUUAUUUUCUUCCAUUUUUAGAAAAAAAAUCUUUCUCCUAUCUUGUACCUCUAAAAUUGUUGACUGCAUUUAGAUUAGCAUUUUUUUUUAUAAACUUUAACGUAUAUUUAAAAAUGUUAGGAAAUUGGUUUAAUUUCUUUUAGAUAGAAUUCUUAUUUUGUGUGGAAGUAACUAAUUUUCUAAUUGGUUUUAGUUACUUGAAAUAGUAGUCAAGAAAUAUUCUAUUUAGUUUAGGAUUAAAAGUUAUUCUAUGUAAAUUUAGGAAAUAGUAUUGGUUUCCAAUUGUUAUUUGAUUUUUUGGUAGUAAUGUUCCCUAUAAAUAGAUGGGUUGGCAUACUACACAGAGAGACACACAAAAGAGACACACAAGGAGACACAAGGGGCAUCAUGUAGCCUUAUACAUGGGGUGUGAGAGAGGGUUCUUGGGAGAUGAGAAAUGGUAUACAAGGGUUGGGUUUGGGUUCAAUUUGUAUUCUUGUAUAGGGUUUUUCUCUCAUAAUAAAGAACAGGUUUCUCUCCGUGGACGUAGGCUCAAUGAUGGAGCCGAACCACGUUAAAUAUUGUGUGUCGUUUAUCUUUCAUACUUGUGGAUUAUUUGCCAUUAAAUUGUUGUGCACUUGAUAUCUCAAUAGUUGUUUAUUCCGCAUUUGGAUCCUAACAAGUGGUAUCAGAGCUUGAUUGCGAGACUGAGCUGCUCAAGGUUCGUAGUUGGAUCCUAAUUAAUUAUUGAGAUCAAGUAGAUUGGUAGCUGUUACUAAUUGAACAAUUUAAUGAAUGGUAUUCUUGUUUCAAUGGUUUGGCAAAAAUCAUUGAUGGUGAAUGAUAGAAAGUCAAAAAGCAUGAAGAUACUUGACGAUGAAUCUAGGUAAGUGAUUCAAGGGUCAAGCAAAAGGUAGAGUCCAAUAUUAAUUUUGGACGUGAAUCGGUGGAGACUUUCUCACACCUCCAACGGUUGAUAUUUCAUUUCGAUGAAUUUUAGAUUUUAGUUAUAUUUUUUGGGUGGUGUGGCACGUGUCCCAAAGAAACAAAGAGAUCUAAUUUCUAUGCAUCAGAAGACUCUGACAGUUACGAAUUUUUUGUUUUAAGUGGAGUCUUGAAAACCACAUAUGGCGAGACAGUCCUGAGGAUGGGAAGAAGUAUGGUGACUUUACCACUUGAUUGCCUCAAUGGUUAGGGUUAGAGCUCACAGAAGGGGAUCCCAGAUUGUAAGUGGUGGUAAGAAGAAAUCCUGCAAAGGGAGAUGGUGAAUUGAGACACCUUCUCACGAGUCAACUGGAGGUUGGACUCGGGGUAACUACACAUGUUCGUUUGCCGAUUGAAUCAAUUUGAUGUCAGGAUUGUAUUGAUUCCGGUGUGUAGUUUGGUACCAUAUUAUUUGGUAGUUGAAGGCAAAUGGUUGCUAAAAGAAACUUUCGCCAAGGUGGAGAUGUGUUAGGAAAUUGACUUAAUUUCUUUUAGAUAGAAUUCUUGUUUUGUGUGGAAGUAACUAGUUUUCUAAUUGGUUUUAGUUACUUGAAGUAGUAGCCAAGAAAUAUUCUAUUUAGUUUAGAAUUAGAAGUUAUUCUAUGUAAGUUUAGGAAAUAGUAUUGGUUUCCAAUUGUUAUUUGAUUUUUUGGCAGUAAUGUUCCCUAUUAAUAGAUGGGUUGGCAUACUAUACAGAGAGACACACAAAAGAAACACACAAGGAGACACAAGGGGCAUCAUAUAGCCUUAUACAUUGGGUGUGAAAGAGGGUUCUUGAGAGAUGAGAGAUGAUAUACAAGGGUUGGACUUGGGUUCAAGUUGUAUUCUUGUAUAGGGUUUUUCUUUCAUAAUAAAGAACAGGUUUCUCUCCGUGGACGUAGGCUCAAUGGUGGAGUUGAACCACGUUAAAUAUUGUGUGUCGUUUAUCUUUCAUACUUGUGGCUUAUUUGCCAUUAAAUUGUUGUGCACUUGAUAUCUUAAUAGUUGUUUAUUCCGCGUUUGAAUCCUAACAAAAAAAAAUCUCUGUAAUGUAUAUUUUUAGAGUUCUCAAAAUUAUUAAAAAUCACCAUCAUAUCUCUCUUUUCUUAUCCGUCAGCUAGUCAUUAGAUGCCGUCUACGACUUUCGUAUCUUCUAUCAUGGUACCACUCUCUCUAUUUUUUUUUUGUCAUGUCUGUCAUAUCCCUGCAAUCCCCUUUCUUCUUCUCUCCCUACUCCGCCCAUCCUUGUAACCCACAUUUCUUCUUCAACCUUUCUCGCCACUUUUCAACUCCUCACCAUUUUCUUCCCUCCCUUCUCCCCCCAUACCCAACUUCUAAAUUCAUAUCCAUGUACCCAAUAUAUUUAACUUUACUAAUCAUAAUCAAAAUAUAAAAUUGAAAAUUGAUUACAAUGGUUGCAAUUAUUAGUAUCUAAAAAUGGAAAUGAAAAACUGAUAAUAUCUAUAAUAUUCUCAAAUACUACAAUCAAUAUAUAUAUAUAUAUAUAUAUAUAUAUAUAUAUAUAUAUAUAUAUAUAUAUAUAUAUAUAUAUAUAUAUAUAUAUAUAUUUAACAUAGCAAAUACAUAUUUACAUAUGAAGACGGUAAUAAGAAUACAUAAAAUAAUUAAUGAUAUCAAAAGUUAUCCUUAGUGUUUGGGUUUUACAUUCUUAUUCAAAUCUAAUCAGGGUCAAAUUUGGAUUAGAUAUAUACAAAUUAAGUAGUAUUUUAGGGUCGAAUGUUCUAUAUUUUUUUCUUAAACUAUAAUGUUACUUUUUUAAAAUUUUUGGUAAAAUUGGUGUUGUUAUUAUAAUAUUUAUCAAAAAAAAUUCCCACGUUAAAAGGCCAGUAGUACUUUUUUUUUUAUUUAGUGAUUUCAUAAUUUAGAUUUCAUGAAUGGUACCAUUCUUGAUUUUUUAAAUCCACGACAUUAUUUCCUUUUGUUUUCUGUAUAAUUUUGCUAUUUUACUUAGGAUUACUAAGUUAAAAGAUAAAAUAUUAUCAUUUACUUUUUUACUUUUACUAAGUUUGGUAAUGUUUUCUCUUUAUUUACCCUCCCACUAAUAAAUUUCAAACCAAAUUCCUAUAUAAGUGGAGCCACUUCUUACUUAUUUAAAUUAGAAAGGCAUGGAAGCCACUUCUUAUUUAGAAAAAUGUUAUUUGCACUCCAUUUUUUAUUAUUUGUAAUUCCACCAUUUGUUUUAUCAUAUAGUCUAAUUAAUGAAAACUAUAUGAUCAAAAUGAUUAUUGAAGUGUGAAUAACAAAAAUAUAGUGUAAAUAAUCUUACUUAUUUAAAUUAAUAAGAAAGCAUGAAAGGAUGUCAUAUUUGUUAUCUCUUGUUAUGGUCUUAUAGAAGUUUUAAUUGGAGUAGAAUCAUAAAUAACGCAAGGUAAUCGAAAACGUGAUAGGUUGAAGUACAAAUAAGAUAACAUGCACAUUAACCAACAAUUUGAAAUGAAAUGAUUUUAAAAAGUAACUAACAAUUUCAAAUGUGAAGAGUAGAUGUGGAAGUUAAGAGAAAUAUAUUUUAUAAAUUAAAUUAAAUGUGAAAUGCUAGAAAAAUAGAAUUGAUAGUGGGAAGAUGUGAAAGUUUGUUGCUAAAAAUUCUUUCUCAAAUUUAUAUAGAUAUAGAUAAAUAUAGAUGUCUUUUUUUUAGUGGUUCAAUCUCAUAUUCGUAAACUAUCUGCAGAAAAAAAAAAUUCUGGACUAUACUAAUUUUGUUAUACCAACUCUGUUAUUCUUAUUAGUGUAUUAAUUGUUACGCUAUUUCUCUCAUUUUGUUGGGCCUACAUUAAUACAAGUGUAAUUGUUAUUAUGUCUCGUGUCCCAGAAAAUACAUAAUAUCCUAUUCAGGUGGAUACGUGCAACAGAUAAUCAAAUUGAUGGUAAAAAUUUAGAAUGAAUAAGUUGCUUUUGCAUAAUGGUUGUAAAGGUUUCUUGAGACUUUAUGAAUUAGGUGUCUUGCGUUUGCAAAAAGAAUUUCAGAAGAUUUUUUGUAUUGGAAAUGGAGUUAAAACUUGCUAUAGGUUACUUUCAUGUAUUUCAAUCUUAUCGUAAAGGGUAAUUUGCUGUUGAACCUAAUUUUUUUUCCGAUUAUAUCCAACUAAUAAAUUAACUUAUGAAAAUAGAUAAUUUAUGGAGGAAAACUAUAAGUAGCUGGUGCUUAUUUUGAAAAAUAUAUUUAUUUUUAUUUUAUCCAAUAAAUAAAUUAGCUUAUGAAAAAUGGGUACUCUGUUCUUAUAAUGGAGGAAAAUCAUAAAGAGCUAGUGUUUUAUUCAAAAACGGAUCUAUUUUUAUUUUAUCCUAUAAAUAAAAUUUUUGUAUGCAAAAAUGGGUACUCUAUUCUUAUAAUGGAGGAAAGUCAGGAAGAGCUAGUAUUUUAUGGAAAAAUGUGUUUAUUUUUAGUUUAGCCGAUAAAUAAAAUUUUUUAUUUAUAGAAAAAUGGGUACACUGUUCUUAUAAUGGAAAAAAGUCAUAAAAAGCUAGUGUUUUAUUGGAAAAUUGGUUUAUUUUUAUUUGAUCUGAUAAAUAAAAUUUUUUAUGAGAAAAACGGGCACUGUGUUCUUAUAAUGGAGGAAAGUCACAAAGAGCUAGUGUCUUAUUGGAAAAUGGGUUUAUGCAGAAUUUUAUUUUAUCCAUAAAUUUUUUUUAUGGAAAAAUGUGUACUCUAUUCUUAUAAUGGCGGAAAGCCAUAAAGAACUAGUGUUGUAUUCAAAAAUAGGUUUAUUUUUAUUUUAUCCGAUAAAUAAAUUUUUUUAUGGAUGUCUAGAUAAAAUUUAUUGAUCGGAUUAAAAGAAAAUUUAUUUUAACACUGAUUUUUCCAAAAACAAAUUUUCUUUUCAAAAAAAAAAGAAAAUAAACCCGUUUUCUAAUAAAACAGUCGCUGUUUAUGGCUAUCCUGCGUUAUAAGGAAAGAGUACCCAUUUUCUCAAAAACAAAUUUAUUUAUCGAAAUAAAAUAAACAUAAAGGCGUUUUACAGUUAACCACCCGCUAUUUACGGCUUGCCUCCAUAAAUUAUCCACUUCACUAUUUUUCAUAAGUUAAUUUACUAGUUGGAUAAAAUUGGAAUAAAAUUAGGUUGAAUAGCAAAUUAGCCUUUAGGAUAAAAUUGAAAUACAGGAAAGUAACCUAUAGCAAGUUUUAACUCCGUUUCCACUACAAAAAAUCUUCUGCAAUUGUUUUUGCAAACGCAAGAAGAAUAAUUCAUAAAGUCUCAAGAAACCUUUACAACCGUUAUGCAAAAACAACUUAUUCAUUCUAAAAUUUUAGCAUCAAUUUGAUUACCUAUUGGACGUAUCAACAUCAAUAAGAUAAUAUGUAUUUUCUGAUACACGAGACAUAAUAAGAAUUAAACUUGCAUUAAUGUAGGCCUAACAAAAUGAGAAAAGUGGCAUAACAAAUAAUACAAUAAUAAGAAUAACAUAUUUGGUAUAACAAAUUUAGUGUAGUCUAGAAUUUUAUUUUUUUCUACAGAUAGUUCACGAAUAUAAGGUGCAACCACUAAAAAGAAUGACAUGCAUAUGUAAUGUAAAAAUGAAUAUAAAAUGAAUGUAGUUACAUUGUGUCAUCCGGUAUUCGGGUCCACAGUGGAAGCCGAACUUCAAUAAUGGAAAGCCAGAGUUGAAGCUUACUUCAGACGCUAUGGGAAAGAAGUGGGGUCACCAAUAUUUGGUACAAAGGAAAGACUUGCAAUAACAUAAUACGGAAGUCAGUCUGUUGUUUGCUUCCAUCCGCACACGCUUCUACUUGAUUUUCUAUGCACGCGCUCUCCAACAAUUUAACAUCUCCGUUUGGACCGUUUUGCCUCCAACACGCUCUCUGCCGACAUUCCUACCGUAGGCAGAUUCCUACCAUAAAGGUUUCGGUACGGAACAGGUCCAUUCAACCAAUGUUUUCAGAACCGGACCGGACCGGCCGGUUCGACCGGUUGGACCGCGAACCGGCCAUGUCACCGGUCCGGUCUAAUGCUAAAGCCGGAAGUUCAUGGAGAACCGUUGAAACCCGGACGAACCGUGCGAACCGUUAAGAACCGUGAACCGGCGGUUUUUUAAAUUCUUCAACAAAAUAUCAAGAAUGGUGUAGCUAAGAUUCGAACCUGGGUCUCCAACUUUAAAUAUGACAAUCUUACCGCUAGACUGUACUUAAGUUUGUUGAGAAUUCUACUUGACUAAAAAAUAUAUUAAAACAUCAAGUUCUUUUCUUAUUUUUUUUUUUUCAAUUUUUUCUUCUUAACCAUUUUUAACCCAAAUAUCCACAACAAGAUUUUCUCAAGUCUUCACCAUUAUUAUCUGGUUAUUAUCUUUAGCAGAUUGUAAACAAGUUGAAAAUUUCAACUUUUCUUGUUUUCCAACAUUUUAGUAAGUUUAAUUUUUUUCUUUUCAAGGUUUUUUCUAUAUUAUUAUCUUUAGUUGAUUUUUUGCAUUUUCUUCUUUUUCCCCUCAAUUUUCAUAUGUUUCCCUCAUUUUUGUUUUAUUUUUAUUCGAUUAAUUAAGGAUGAAAUUUUUGCAAAAGUAGUGCACAUCCGUGUAGGAAUUGGGUAGGAAUUACAAAUAAUAACAUUGGGCUGGUCAAAAAUAUGGUAGUUAGCACAUAAUCGAAACUAUUGAUAAUUGAAUUUAAAAUAAUUAAUGGUAUAGGAUCAUUGAAUUUAAUAUAACAUGUUAAUUAGUAAUGUUUAGUAGCAAUUAAUUUUUUAUGUGUUUAACUGUAUAUUUGUUUUUCAAAAAUUUUUAGUUUUUUUUAGUUUAAGCAAUUAGAUUUAUAUUUUUAUAAUAAAAUUUUACUUUUUCAGCUUAAGUUGAUGAAAUUGUGAAGGUGGUGUGGUUGCUUAUCAUGCCACUGAUAAAAGUUUGCUAUUCAAAUAGUUUGUUUUAACUUGAACUCUUUUAUGGAUUUUUUUAAGGGUUGUAAAAGAAUUUUAAUAUUUUAUUUAUUUAUUUUUUGUGUUUUUAUUUGUGAUAAUUGGCGCACAUUUGGAUUGUAUCUAUUUAUGUUUAUAAUGAAUUUAUGAAAACUUAUGGUGAAUUAUGAUAUUUUAAUUAUAUUUAUCAUUCCAUGUUUUAUGUAUAACUUUUAGAAAAUUUAUUAUUAUCAUAACUUAAAUUAAGUUAUGUUGGUAAAGUUCAAGUAUAGAAUGAAACAUGCUUAGUACUUAACACUAAAAAAAAAAAAAAAAAAAAAAAAAAAAAAAAAAAAAAAAAAAAAAAAAAAACAGUGAACCUUUGAACCGGCCGGUCGGACCGGUCGAACUGCGAACCGGCCACCUCUCCGGUUCACUGACCGGUCCGAGUUUAAAAACAUUGCAUUCAACUGGUCGAGUCAAGUGACGAUCGAUCAUUCGUUAGCUAGCAAAAUGACGAACUGACAAUAAUGACUUUGAGCUGCUUUACGUCAAUUUAACUUUUUUCUUUAGUUGUUUACUUUUUUCUUUUUUUCGGAAACGUUAACGAUGUAUUGAUCAUAAUAAGAAACUUUACAACAAAAGUUGGGCAAAGGCUCCAGCAGAAGCUUUACAACAGUGCAUAUGCUCGCACUUACAAGGAGUAAUAAUAAUAAUGUUUGAAGCGUGAACGCUAAGCCUAUGACAUAAAUCCAUAUUUGUGGGGUUUUCUUUUUUUUUUUUUUGGUAAUCUAAAAGAUCCAUAUUAAAAUUUAAAUGUCGUACUGAUUGUCCAACGAGUACUACUCAUUAGAAAAAAAAAAUUCAUAGUUAAUUGCAAAGGGCAUAAGGAUAAUGAACUUGAUAAUAAUAAGAUAACGACAUUUUUGGCCUGGUCUUUUAAUUUACGGGAUUGAUUGAUGGCUCUGUACAGUGGUAUUACCAUACAUGCUAACAAGUUUGGUACGUGUCUACAUGAAAACUGUCGGUGUGUAUUUAAAAUAAGAAUUAAUAUUUUCUUUUUCUUUUUCUUUUUCAAAUGUGUUGUUGACAGUCUACUUAACAAAUAUGCAGUCACUUGCACGACAGAGAGAGAGAGGAAGGGGACAAUUAACAUUGGAGGAGUCACUAAUCAGUCGAAGCAUGGAUUGAUGCCACGCCCAAAAAACCAAAAAAAAAAAAAAAAAAUUGUGAUAGCACCAUGUGUAGUGUAAAAUGGUUGGCGCAUGUGGGGGGAAGAUGCAUCAUAUGCCUGGAUAAGCUCUCUCGCUCAUAAUUUCCGUCAGCACAUCAAUCAAACAAAAUACUCACUAAUAAGUAACAACCACCUCACCUUGAAUUCAGAUGCUGCGUUGCAUCUUAAAGCUGUAGAGCUGGGUGGGGAAUGGUGGCCAGGGAUUGGUUGGGAAGAUUGCGGGGGCCUGGGCUGUUCCAAAUUUUAGCUGUGCCAGUCCAAAGGUCGAAGAAGCAAAGGUGCUAAGAGAGGCCAUGAUAGUGAACUGUAGUCAAGUAGUGAAAGCAGUGUGCAGUGAGGAGGAGGAUGUAGUGAUAGCAUCAAUUGUACAUGACAUCAGGAUACUUAGGUUAAAAUUUGAUGAAUGUUGUUUUACCUUUACAAAUAGGGUGAACAAGCCAUAAACUAGCUAAAGUAACUAUUGCUUUGGAACAAAAUACAGAAUGAAAGGAAAACUCCCCAGUUUGGCUGCUGGAACAAGUCCAAGCAGAUUGUAAGGACAGUUGCCCGGCUAUACUGUAAUUGGUUUACUAUUAAUACAAUGUUGCCGUUCUGAUUAAAAAAAAAAAAACCACCUCACCUUCAUUGCUCUUAAGAGUCAUCAUGGUUUUGUGGGAAUUGGGAAUACCUGAAUGAUGGGCAUGGGAGUGCGUAUCUCACUGAAAUUACCUCCGAAAAGCUUUUCCACCGUAACACUUGAGGAUAGAAUAUUUGUCUCGGUCCAAUGUAUAGAUUGUUAUCUUUCAAUGGAUUAAUCUUUCAAGUCCCUGCUGCAUCAAUUGCUAUAGUACUGUUGGAGGUGUACUAGUCAAAAAGCUUCUCUGUAGCACCGCAUAUCUGAUGUGCGGUUAAAGAAAAAACUUUUCCAAACCGUCACAAAUCAGAUGUGCGGUUAAGGGAAAAACAUAUUUUAAUUCAUUUGCCGCAAAUUAGUAUUGCGACAAAAGAUUUAAAAAACAUUUUUUUUCUUGCUCCUUCAAAAUCAUGACCCUUGAUCAUAUGUUAAUCAAUGGUCCAUUUUUGGCUAAAAUAAAAAAAAAUGCAAUCGAAAAUCUUAACUUCAAAAAUUCUUAAGCUGCGAAAAAAAAUAAAAAAUAAAUCAGACAACUUUUAAGUCGAUAUUGUGACUUGCGGCGACCCUUAUGAUAGACAAACUCCCUACAAAACACUACUUUUGUGAUAAUUUUUUAUUUUAACAUUAUUACAAAAAAUUUGCCCAAUUUUUACCCAAAUUAUCCAAAUUUUAUUGCAAAUUGGAUAAAUUGGAUAAUUGAUUUUGACAUUAUUCCGAGAAUAACGUAGGUAAAUUAAAUUUUAGGCUUCCAUGGUUUGGGUUUACAUAUUCGGGUUUUAGUGCUGGGGUUUAGGGAUUAGGAUUCUAGAGUUAGGGUUAGGAUUUUACGAAAAUAAAUAAAUAAAUAAAGGAAUCGCCACACAUGAGCUUUGCAGUGAUUCUUUUUUAAUAUAAUAUUUUUCGCCGCACAUACUUUUGCAAAAAAAAAAAAAAAAAACCUCUCCAUUAGCUUCGUUGGCAAAAAAAAAAAAAAGCAAAUUUAAACAAUUUUUUUAUGAAACCCAACUUCCUAUUUGCGGCGACUCUUUAGGUAAAAACACUCUUCAACUAACACCACUUUUAUGAUAAUUUUUGGUUUUAACAUUAUUCCGAGAAAUUCGCCGCACUGGCUGUGCAUAGCAUAGCCCACCCCUAUUAGUACUACUAGAAAGUAGAUAAAAUUUUUUUUUACGGCAAUGAUAACAUUUUAUAACAUAAUCUAUCAUAAUCUAUAUGGAGGGGAGUAUAAAGAGACUGUGUAUAAGUAGUUAUAAAGUAUAAGAAUCUGACUAGAUCAAAAGGAUACUUUGACACCUCAUUUGAAUUUUUUUCACUGUAAGUGGGGUUCGAACCUCCGACUUAUGGUCCAAAAAGAGGCUUAUAAUUCCUUUUUUUUCACUGCAGACCAUCUUUUUUUUUUUAGGAGGAGAAAGUAGUCUUGAUGACGGCAUCAAAAUUCAACGCCCCUUCCAUUUCAUUUCCACCCUACUUCCAUGCUAGUACUGCAUGCUGCCCCGUUGCUAUCUUUCUAUAUAAAGUCCUCGCACCUAUUCUACCUAAAUGGCUCCUACCAUCUAAUUCAACCAUUUCUUAACAUCAGUUUAGUUUAUUGCUGCCUACAUCCCUUCCCAAACACCCCCCCCUCCCCCCGGGAACAAGAAAAAAAGGAAAAAAACUUCCAUUUCCAACAUUUAUCAUUUGGGCUGUUGAUCAGAUCCACCCAUCGCCACUGACUUGACUCUUUCCUUCAUCAACUAUGGCUGAGAAGGUAAGCCAAUUCUCUUGCUAGCUUUCCCAACCAUCCCUCAAAUGUUCGUGAUAUAUUAUUGUUUUGCAUCUUUUUUUUUUCCUCUUUUAGUGUUUGCUUAAUCUAAAAAUUUUAAUUGCAAGUCUAUGACAGCACAUACAACGUGAAAUAUGCUUCUUUUUAUGUCAAGAUCUCUAGCCACAUCUCUCAGCGUAAAACUAGUAGCACCAUAUAAUUGUGCAUCUUAAUUUUGCAGUUCCUGAUUGUUAUAUAUAUAUAUAUAUAGAGCGACGGAGCUAUGUUUUUUUUUUCUAAGAGAUCAAAAUUUUUCAUAACAAAAUUAUCUCAAUAUAUUAUGUUCAAAAUGAUUUCCACACACACAUAUAUAAACUCUCACAAUAUAAACUAAAAUUAUAAAAAAAUUAAAAAGAUCAACUUUAAUUUUACACAUAUAUCUACAUAUUAUGAAUUAAAAUUUUUAAAACUUAAGGAGCCAUGGCCCAUCAGCCCCUUGGCUUCGUCAUUAUAUAUACAUAUGGAUCGAGUUUGACUAUUUUGCUCCGAUAAUAUAUAUGCAACCAUACAGGUGACUACAAUGAGACUCGAGGUUGAUCUUCAAUGCUCCUGCUCCUACAAGGUCAAGAAAUUCCUCUGCAAAUUUCCUCGUGAGUCUCUUAUAAUUAUCAAUUCUAUCUCUUAUGUUUUCAAUACCAGUAUUACUAGUAGUAGUUCUUCUUUAGAGCAAGCACAGUUGGAUGGAGGACAUCCACCGUUCCACCGACUACAUACAUGGCUAGGCAUGUGUGCCACCAUGGGCUACAGUUUUUUUUUUCCCCUUCUCCAUGAUUAAACAACAAAAGCUGGGUAGUGUGGCUUACGAAACUACUAGUGAUCAGUUAGUGGCUUUAAUUUGUAUGGACAAGAAUUUGAGUUUUUUUUUUUUUUUGGGUGAUGCUCAAUUUUUUUGGACAAGAGAAAUCCAAGACCAGGUAUAUGAUGAGAAGCAAAAUCUGGUGACCAUCACCGUGGUGUGCUGUAGCCCCGAGAAAAUCCGCGACCAAUUAUGUUGCAAGGGUGGUAAAGUCAUUAAGAGUAUUGAGAUCGUGGAGCCACCAAAGCCUAAAGAGCCCGAAAAGCCCAAGCCACCACUUGCAGUGGCGGUCUGCUGUGUCCUAUGUUCGGAAGGGUACGGAGGGGGACGAUGCUGCUGCAGGAACUGGCGGCCUGUGCCCCCGCACGCGUGCGGGUGCGGAUACCGGUAUAGUCAUUGUGAUUAGUUCAGUGAGCAGAUCACUGGCGACUGUACGAUUAUGUGAGAGGAGAGGAGAGGAGAAUUUGAUAUGGGGAAUGAUAUGAUAUGAAAAGCAUCCAAAUUAAUCAUUUAAUUUUGUUUGGUGGGCGGUACAUGCAAAUGCAUUGAAGCAAAAUAAUACUAGCAGUAUUGUGUAGUUAGGGCCUUCAUAGGACCUAUAAUAUAAAAGGAAGAAGAAAAUAAAGUUAAUGUGCAUGCUAUUAUGGAGUAUAUAUAUAGAGAGACGUACAUGUGGGGACUGAUUCAAGUUGGAAGUCACUUAGAAUAAGCUUUUGUAUGUACCCUAAUGAAUAAGUUUUCUUUAAGUGUCAAGGCACACUUUUGUAAAGAUGUUUGAGAGCCGUUGCUCAGAUAUUGUAUAGUUUUGACAUAUUAAUAAAAAUUUUAUCGUUUCGGAAAAGAAAAAAAAAAUGUCAUUGCAUCAAAUUUUUUUCAUUGUUUAUAAUAAUAAUAAUAAUAAUAAUAAUAGAAAUGAUGUCGUUAAAAGUGCAUGUACUCUCUUCUUCUUCUUCUUUAUUAUUAUUAUUUUUAGAUUUCAUUUUCUCGCUUUGCUCUCUAGUAGUAGUAGUAGUAGUGUUAGUAAAUUAAUGUGCUAGUGUAGAUGUUCUAGAUACACAUCUUCUUUCCUGUUUCUUCAUUUCUUAAAUCUCUCCAUUCUUUGCCAGAAAUAAAAUUAAAAAUAAAAUUUUAUAUAUAUAUAUAAGUAGUAAUGUGCUAGCGUCACAGGAAGGAAUGCAGAAAGGAGCCAGUAGUACUUAACAGUCACUUGGGAUCCUCGGUGACAUAUUUUCUAUGCCAAUCCAAUACCACCUCUAAUAUUACGCCAAGUGUCCUAUUAUUAUUUGCACUUUAAUUUUCUAAUAAUUUAAAUUGAUUUGAUUUGACACAAGUUUUCUUUACCUUCUAAACCUUUAAACCAAAAUUAACCGACCGGACCAAUGAUACUCAUCUUAUUACUUGAGCAAGCAGUGAAGUGCGCUGCCAUGGCCGCCCGCUCCAUCGUCCUCACUAUGGCUCAGUAACAACUGACAAAUGGCAGCGUUAUUGAAGAAAUUGGCAACGAAGGCUGCACCGAUGAUCGCAUUCAAUGGAGCUUUUCUAGCCCAAUCCAAGUCUACUUUUCUAAAUUUCCGUAUCCCCUUUGGAGCUAUUGCAGCGGUUUCCGGUGGCAUAUCAUAUUAUUACUACUUCUCUUUUUCAUCCGUGGUAAUUUCUCCCAACUAUUUCAUCUGUGUUUCGGUCACUUGGUCUGCCACGUCACAGCUCUGUCCUCCACAGAUGGAAAUUGUCAGUUGUUACCGAGCCAUAGUGAGGAAGAUGGAGCAGGCGGCCAUGGCAGCGCACUUCACUGCUUGCUCAAGUAAUAAGAUGAGUAUCAUUGGUCCGGUCGGUUAAUUUUGGUUCAAAGAUUUAGAAGGUAGAGAAAACUUGUGUCAAACCAAACCAAUUUGAAUUAUUAGAAAAUUAAACUGCAAAUAAUAAUAGGACACUUGGCGUAAUAUUAGAGGUGGCAUUGGAUUGGCAUAAAAAAUAUGUCACCGAGGAUCCAAGUGCUUAACAGUUGGGUAAAAGUAAAAAUAACGCAUAUGAAUUUGCAUGCCAUCUCAAAUGCUCGCAUGCAAUAAUAAAUGUCAAAAGUUUAGUCAACAAAAGACCGACCAACGUUUUUUUUUUUUUUUUUUUAUAAUAACAUUCAUCAACCAACAACCUUCCAGGACACCAUGGCACGGCAGUAAAUGGAGUAUAUAUAUAUAUAUAUAUAUAGUAGCAAAACAAGACAAGACAAGAGACAGACUCACUCACAGUAACCUAUUUUAGUCAGAUUGAUUAAUUAAUUUCGGGUUAGUUUGGUUGUCUUUGUCUUCACUCUUCUGUAAUAAAUUGUCACUCAGCGCCGGUGUCGUCCUGUUGGAUUGUUACAAAAUAAUUGAGGAGAAAUAAUUGCGAGGUGGUGGAGUCACUAAUUCGUUGUCCUUCCAAUUCCAAAUCCUUUCUUUCACUGGAUCCUUUCAUUGUGGCUCUAGGUUUUGGUUGGAUGUGGCGGCCGGCAUGAAAGUGACGGAGCAGCCCGCAGAGGCUUUUACGAAAUACCGAAGGCUCGAAUCAUGACAAAGAUUUCCCCAUGAAAUUAAUUAAGCUUCAGAGGGAUACCACACACACAUAUUGCCCUCUUUUAACCGGUGCAUCAUUUCAUUUGAGGGAUGGAUCAUGGAGGAGGGCAUUUUCUGCUUCUCUUAUUUUUCUCCUCUCUUCUCUUCUUGAGUAGUGAAUAGUGAUUGCCCUUCUCAAGUACAGAGUACAGUAGUAGUAUAUAGUAGUAGCAACUACUCUCCGUUUUUGAAUUGUACUGCUCCGUUUCAACAUACUACUGUUACUGGUCAUGAGAAAAAAAUUCUUGCUUCAGUUUCUUGUAUGAGGUAGCAGAAAUCUAUAGGUCGAAACUCGAACGAACGUCCGACAAAUGACCUAAGAAAUGAUUUUCCUGGUGCCCAUUGAUCUAUAGAACCCAAUGGCCUAAAAAAUUAGCUAGCUGAAAACACCACCAUCUCCACGGUCCUGGAACCUCACCGGCAGCCCAAUGUAGAAAAAAAAAAAAAAGAAGAAGAAAACUCAAAUGCUGCUGACUGCUCUGCUGAGUGUCGACUGAGAAGGAAGGAAGGAGAGUAGAGAGAAGAAUGGUGGCCGCCGCCUAUUCGCCGUCUCAUCUCUCUCGCGACCCACACCUCUUCUGUAACUCUCUUUAUCCCACUCACCUCCACCAACUCGGAAUCAUCCCCCAUAACGCCCUCGCUUUUCAUCCUCUCAAGCCCCAUCCAAAACCUUCCCUCUCUAUACCGGCUUCCCAACAACAAUCCCCCUCAAUUUCCCAAAUUCCUCACCGCCCAGAUGCUAAAACCAUCUCUUCUUCCUCAAAAAGCUAUAUCUGGGUCAACCCCAACAGCUAUAUCGGGGUAGGUGCUGCCGGCUCUCAAAUCUCAAAUUUUGCUUACGAUUCCCCAACAGUACUAAUUCAUCUCUCUCUCUCUCUCUCUCUCUCUCUCGGCUAACGGUAAAUGUAAUUUUAUGUGCAUAUCAGGAGACAUACAAAGCAAAAACCUUUGGAGCUAGCUUACUCAUACAUACAAAUUGUGUAUUUAAAAUAAGAAUUAAUAUUUUAUAUACUGAAAAUAAAAAUAUAAUAAUUUUUUUAUACUAAUAAUUUUGAAUAUAAAAUUUAAAUUCAUACUAUAUGGUAUAAUAUAAAUCUGUUAGUGCCCUCUGCAGCUUGUCCCUGGUCGAACCUUGCUGCUAACAAGUUGUGGAGUGUGGAGAAUAGUUUGUGGGAUCCAUUUCCUACGGAUACCCCUAAAAAAUAUAUCUCAGCAUGAUUACGUUACUUGAUUCUCGUCCGACUAUUAUCUUAAAAAGUCUGUUUGGAUUGUGAAUUAUUAGAGAUAUUUUUACUGUAGCACUUUUUGUGAUGUGAUGUAUGUGAGAUAAAAAGGUAAUUGGAAAGGUAAAAAGGUGUAUUGGAAAUUGUAACGAUGAUGUAAACAAAUAAAUUUGAGAAAAUAAAGCCCAAUCUGUUUGGUUAUAUUACAAGCGUCCCAAUUCAAUUAAAUUCCGCUGCGCUGCGCCUUCAAAUGUGUUGUUAACAGUCUACUUAACAAAUAUGCAAUCACUUGCACGACAGAGAGAGAGGAAGGGGACAAUUAACAUUGGAGGAGUCACUAAUCAGUCGAAGUAUACCCCCAGUUACAGUAGUUGAAAAGCCGAUGGCACUUGCACCACCACCACCACCACCAGCACCGACUUCACCUGAACCGUGCUCUCACCCGCCAGUUCCAGUGGGGUUCUGCUGUGUCCCAUGUUCGGAAGGGUACAACGGGGGGCCAUGCUACUAUGGUUAUGGGCGGCCCGCGCCCCCGCCGCCCUGUUAUGAUAGCUAUGGUUUCAGGUACGGGCAUGGGAAGGGAUAUACGGACAGCCGUUGCAAUUAUUUCAAUGAGGACAACACUGGGGGUUGCACGAUUAUGUGAGAGAGGAGUAGAGAAUUUGAUGGGGUGAUUUUACUGAUAUGAUGUGAAGAGCGUCCAAAUUAGUAAUCAAUUAAUUUUGUUUGGUGGGCGGUAAGAGCAAAUGCAUUUGAAGCAUUUAGUAGUAGUAUUGUGUAGUUAGCGCAAACCUUGAGAACAAUCUCCUGAACCUCUUCUUCCUUCUUUUCUUCUUUCUUGUCCCCUUCUUCUUCCUUUUUACUAGUAUCUUCUUUGUUUCCCGGUACUUGUUUCUGUUGCUCCUCCUUGUUCGCUUCCUCUUUCUUCUCCUGCAGCAUACCAUGCAUGAGAUCAAUGAGAAAGUGAUAGCAAAACUUAUUACAGUAGUUACUGGGAUUUCCUUCCGUUCAUUCGAGGGAGCAAUUAGAAUAAUCUUGUGCAAGGAUAUUUGGAAGUAGAAAACUAAAAACUUACUUCGCCCAUAUCGUCUAACUCUGACAAGCCCCUCUUCCUAGUCCUAGCUAAUACUACUAAUCAGUAGUAUAUAUGUUUAUAUAGAAUGUAUUACUGCAGGGAGGAGGGGGGGGGGGGAUCGUGGAGAUUUUCUUAUACAAGAAAUGAAAUGAAAUGAGAGCAAGGACCCUUUCUCUCAGUAUAGUAGGCAUACAGCAAGCUCGGGGCUUUGGGGUGAAGGAAAAUGGGAAGAGAGGAACGUUUAAUUUAAGUAGCGGGUGGUCGCGGUCUGGUGGUACUGCCUACACUGCCCGGUGCCCACUGCUGCGGCUGCUCCAAAAUUCCAAAUUUCUUUAAAGCGAGUUGCCUACGGUGCUGUCCUUCAGCUGACUCAGCACCUCAUAAUUUUGGCCCCCUGCUUAUGAUUCUAUCUCCGACUACGAGUACAUCAUCUGCAAAUGUAGUAGUCGCCUUUGACUGAUUAAAUAGUAGUCUGACACUACAGUAAUUUAGGAAAAAAUAUAUAUAGUAAAUAAAAUCUUGCAUACGUAGAAGUUAAUGGAAAGGAAAUACUACGAAUUAUUACGGAGAUGGAUGGGAAAGGAUUCCAACUUUGUAAAAGCCCUUGGAGUUAUCCUGCAAGCAAAAACCAAACGAAUGGUCGGCCUGGUAAGGGCUAUCAGGAUCUUUAAAAAAGAAAAGUUGGAAUCUAGCGGGACCUCCCCGCCCCCAAUUUACGACCAGUUUUCAGGAAACCAUUCACUGUAUAUAUGUGACGCUUCUGGCUUCCGCUCAUGUAUAUAAUCUGCUGUAACUAUUGUGUGUGUGUGUGUGUGUAUAGGAGUAUGUUUUUUGAUGACUAAUGUAACUAUUGGAAUUACUCAACUUCCUUCUUCGAUUACAUUACAUACUUGAUCGGCUAUAUUAUUUUGAUGAUCCCAAAUUAAUUAAGAUGAUCGACCUUGUAAUAAUGAUUAAUUAAUUGGUUAGAAAAUAAUUCCAAUUUACCACUUGCUUCCACAUGUCAUCACAUAGUUCUUGAGAACUAGUUGUUGCCUAAAUACAAAACAGGCUUCUGCCUACUUUUGAAUUUUGGCUUCCAUAGGAGGGUACAAGCGUGUAUACGAAAUCUUUAACUCUUCAGAAUUGAAGCUGCAAGUGCAAGAUUUAAGCAUCCGAAAGCAAUUAAUUUAAUGCCAUAUGCUACGGCUAUUGGAUUAGGCAAUAAUUUGCUAGUACUUACUAUAGCUUAAUGACUUAAUCGGCUAAUUACAGAAAUUAAUGCAGAAGAGGUCAACAGGCACUACUCGAAGACAAGCCACAAAAUCCAGGUGCGAUGAGGAAAAAGAAAAUUAAGUGAAAUCUAUAUACUAUUUCUUCAUGCAUGGCUGUCCCUUUUUGUUUACCCAUCUAAGGUUAAAUUUCUAUCUCAAAAUUCCUCGGGUUAAAUGAGUACCACAAGUUUUCUUGGGGAGACCUUUUUAAAGAUUUGUAGAACAUGCACAAGGAUAAUAACUUCAGUAGGAGUAUGUUUUUUGAUGACUACUGUAACUAUUUUAACUGCAGCGGGAUAAAUAUACUGGACGGACCAUAGCUUCAACAUUGCACGUUAUGGGAAAGAUUGUAAGUUGCUGUUCAAAUGUUUUGACGACAUCUUUAAACUUAGCAAGACGCAAAAUGUUAAAACAGAAAAACAGACGUACAAGUGCAGGAAGGAACAAUUAACGCAGCACAUUUCCUCAUCAUUCCAAGAGAGAUCGAACACUAGUAUACGUCUAAAAGCGAGUAGUAAUAAUAUUUUGCAAGAGGCAAAAAAACAACGGCAGUAAAAAAGAAAAUAGAAAAGUUGGGGGAAGAAGGACAAGUUUUGGCGAAUAGACAAAGAGUAACCGACGUCCCGAAGUGGGGCGAUUUUUUUUUUUCAAAAGCUUUGCGUACACUAACAUAUCAUGUAUAGUGAUGAAGACGGUAUACUUGUCUAGGAGGGAUGGCAAGGUUAUCCUGACCUGAAAUCACAGAGAAAGAAGCGGCCACCACAAUUUAAAGGACGGGGCUGUAACAUUUGACAAAGACGGCAGCCCACUGCAUAAGUGGUCCAAGUUCCAUGGAUGGAUCUUGCGUUUCUCAAAUGGUUGAAUUCUUCGAUACUAUCAUCACAACGUGUUAGUACAUGAUACGUUAUUAUUUUGAUUUCACACCGUACCUAGUUUAUAUAUUGGAUUGGAUGAAGAAAGACAAUUCAUAUUCAUGUCCAACGGCAUUUUGCCUGCUGCCUGGCUCUGCACUCUGCAGCCAGUCUCAUGGGCCUCACCGUGUAGUUUCAAGAGUGAGCCCAUAGAAUUGCUACGAACAGAUCUGGGUUUCAAGAUGGGCCGCCACUCCUUUCCUUCAUCAAUUCCUCCAGUAUACACAAUCCACUCAUCUAGGCAAGUGACGAUCAUUCGUUAUUCAAUUCCAGGGUACCUGAUCCACUCAACUAGUCUAGGCAUGUGACGAUUAUUCGUUAUUCAAUUCCAGGGUACGAACAGAUCCAUUCAACUAGUCGAGUCAAGUGACGAUCAGUCGUUAGCUGGCAAACUUUGAGGCUUAUGCUUCAUCCGGGACCUAACUUUUGGUAGGGCAGUAUUGAUAACUGGUUUUGCAGAAAAAAAAAAAUUCUGUUGUUCAAGUUGCAAAAGCAUGAGGUGUAAAUCUUCCGAGGGUUGAACUUAGAAUGCUGUCCAAAAUAAAUUUGACUAGUUGUAAGGGCAAGAGAAGACAGGUCAGAUACAUAAAAGGGAUAAUUUAGAAACCUCCCUUGAGGUUUUCAAUAAUUUCAUUGACCUCUCUUGAGGUUUGUAAAAUUACACUAACCUCCCUCAAGGUUUAGAUUUCGGUAACAAAAUUAGUCCAAAUCAGAAAAAUUACCAUUAAAAAUGUAUUUUGCGAAGAGAGAUAAACUUUUAUUCCAUAAAUGCCCUUAUGCUUGUGUACAAGUUGUAUUGUAAAGGAGUAAAAAAUAUAUUAAUAAAAGCGUGGGAAGGUAAGCGCAAAUAGUAAAGAACAAAAAAUAAGUAGCAACUGACUUUCUCUACAAAGUUGGACCAACGGGUAGUGCAUUAGAUUAUAAUGGAUAUUUUUCAGAUCUUCACCAUUUUGCAUAUAAAGGAACCAAGAAGGAUUAAGAUGGAUCUCACUUUUACUUGAAGCAGUAAAAGUUGAUGUGUAAAAAUAGUUUUGGAUGUGAUGUAUUAUGACUUUGAGCUGCUUUACGUCAAUUUAACUUUUUUCUUUAGUUGUUUACUUUUUCUUUUUUUCGGAAACAUUAACGAUGUAUUGAUCAUAAGAAACUUUACAACAAAAGUUGGGCAAAGGGCUCCAGCAAAGCUUUACAACAGUGCAUACGCUCGCACUUAUAAGGAGUAAUGUUUGAAGCGUGAACGCUAAGCCUAUGACAUAAAUCCAUCAUAUUUGUGGUAUUUUUUUUUGUAAUCUAAAAGGGCACAUUCGAAACAGUUUAGCUAAGUCCUUAAUGUCUUCCACACCAAUUUGGUGUGAUCAAUUGAAAUGUCCUUGCUGGACAGAUGAAAGCGAGUUCUUGUCCCUGAUGCCGACCAUCGCCCGUUCAGCCACCAACUCCUAUUCCCAUUUUCGUCAGUUGUUUACAAAUUAGCAGUGAAUUAUUUCCACUCCUACUUUAUCUAUCUUCUAGGAACAUAAAGAGUAGUAAAGCAGCAGUGCAGUGGGGCGGGGUAGGUGCUGCCGGCUCUCAAAUCUCAAAUUUUGCUUAGGAUUCCCCAACAGUAGUAAUUCAUCACUUCUAUGUUUACACUUUACACUUGCAUCCGGAAUGAAUGUUGUCACAAAAUCCAUCCAACAAAGUCAUCAUGUAUAUGUUAAACCCCCGAUAUAAUAACCAAACUGGUAAUAAAUAGUUAGUGGCUUUACCGUUGUUAGGAUGGAAUUCGUGUGUUGAUAUUUUUUUUUUUUAAAAAAUAAAAUUAAAUAAAAAAAGUAUAUAAACACAAGAUAAGAUAAUAAUAAUUAUCAAUAUGUACGCUUACAUGUGGUUUAUUAGAUGUGAUUUAAGUGUCGUAAUGAUUGCCCAACGAGUAUUACUCAGUAGAAAAAAAAAAUUCAUAGUUAAUUGCAAAGGGCAUAGGAUAAUGAACUUCUUGAUAAUAAUAAGAUAACGACAUUUUUGGCCUGGUCUUUUAAUUUAUGGGAUUGAUUGAUGGCUCUGUACGGUGGUAUUACCACACACGCUAACAAGUUUGGUACGUGUCUACAUGAAAACUGUCGGUGUUAAUAAAGAGUCUUUCCUCCGCCAUCCUCAUUUGCUUUUGGCUUUCUUUCGUACGAUUUCUUUUUCUUUUUCUUUCUCUCUCUCUCUCCCUUUUGGCUAACGGUAAAUGUAAUUUUAUGAGCAUAUCAGGAGACACACAAAGCAAAAACCUUUGGAGCUAGCUUACUCAUACAUAAAAAUUGUGUAUUUAAAAUAAGAAUUAAUAUUUUAUAUAUUGAAAAUAAAAAUGUAGUGAUUUUUUUACAUACUAAUAAUUUUGAAUAUAAAAUUUAAAUUCAUACUAUGUGGUAUAAUAUAAAUCUGUUAGUUUUUUUUUUUUUUUUUUUUUGUCAACACAGGGGUGUCCGGGUCAAGACCCGAAGGCGGCCCGACUAAUCCCCUGCGCCUGGAGUACAGCGCCACCCCAACCGCACCCAGGCGUUAGGUGAGGUUCGAUCCCACGACCUUGCGAGUGAUUUUCCAGCCGCAGACCGGGUGAUCUAACCCGGGAGUAGAAAAAGUUAUCCUUAAACCAACAAUAAUAAUCAUAAUUUUUGUGAGCAUUAGUUAAAUCUCAGCAUGAUUACCCUUGAAAUGUGUUGUUAACGGUCUACUUAACAAAUAUAUGCAGUCACUUGCACGAGAGAGAGAGAGAGAGAGAGAGGAAGGGGACAAUUAACAUUGGAGGAGUCACUAAUCAGUCGAAGUAUAGAUUGAUGCCACGCCCAAAAAAGCAAAAAAUAAAAAAUUGUGUAGUGUAAAAUGGUUGGCCCAUGUGGGGGAGAUGCAUCAUAUGCUUGGAUAAGCUCAUAAUUUCCAUCAUCAGUACUCACUACUAAUAACUUCAUUACUGUCAUUAAUAGUCAUCAUGGUUUCGUGGGAAUUGGUAAUAUAAAUAAUAAAAUAUAUUUUGGAAGGUGAGGUGGGCAUAUCAAAAUUCAAAGGCAGCAACGAACGGAGUAUGGAGGAUGGAUGUUGAUGGAGCGUCACAACUCAGCAAUUCCAGGCCACCACAUAUGCCUAGCCUACCUUACCUUACCUCAUACGCCCGUAUUAGAAAGCAGCAAAAUUCAACGCCCCUUUCAUUUCGUUUCCACCCUCCCUCCUUCCUUCCAUACUAUUACUAGGGAGUAGUAGUUAGCACUGCAAGCUGCCCGGUUGCCAUCUUUCUACAUAAAGUCCUCCCACUUUUUUCUACCUAAUUGCCUCCUACCGUCUAAUUCUUCCACCAUUUAUUAGCAUCAGUUUAGUAGUAUACUGCUUGCUUGCUUGCCUGCCUACAUCCCUUCCCCACUCCCCGACUCUUCCGCUCCCGCACCCAACUCCCCAACCAUUUAUUGUCAUUUGGGCUGUGGAUUCUUGAUCAGAUCCACCCAUCGCCACUGAUCACUGACUCCUUCCUUCAUCAACCAUGGCUGAGAAGGUAAGCCAAUUCUCCUGCUAGCUUUCCCAACCAUCCCUCAAAUGUUCGUGAUAUAUUAUUGUUUUGCAUCUUUUUUUUAGUAGUGUUUGCUUGCUCAAUCUGAAAAUUAUAAUUGCAAGUCUAUGACAGCACAUACAACGCGAGAUAUGCUUGCUUCUCUUUAUAUCAAGAUCUCUACCCACAUCUCCCAGCGUAAACCAUAUAAUUGUGCAUUUCUUGAUUGUUAUAUAUAUAUAUAUACACACACACAUGUAUGGAUCGAGUUUGACUAUUUUGCUCCGAUAAUAUAUAUGCAACCAUACAGGUGACUACGAUGAGACUCAAGGUUGAUCUUCAAUGCCCCUGCUGCUACAAGAAGGUCAAGAAAAUCCUCUGCAAAUUUCCUCGUGAGUCUCUUUAUGUUUUCAAUACCAGUAGAGUAGUAGUAGUUCUUCUUUAGAGCAAGUACAGUUAGUUGAAGGACAUCCACCGUUCCACCGACUAUGUACAUGGAUAGGCAUGUGCGCCACCAUGAGCUACAGUUUUUUUUAAAAAUAAUUUUUUCCCCUUCUCCAUGAUUAUUUAUUAGCCGAGUUCAACAACAAAAGUUGGGUAGUGUGGCUUAUGAAACUACUUGUGAUCAGUUAGUGGCUUUAAUUUGUAUGGACAAGAAUUUGAGUUUUUCUUUUUUUUUUUUCUUUUGUUGGGGGUGAUGCUCAAUGUUUUUGGACAAGAGAAAUCAGAGACCAGAUAUAUGAUGAGAAGCAAAAUCUGGUGACCAUCACCGUCGUGUGCUGUAGCCCCGAGAAAAUCCGCGACAAAUUAUGUUGCAAGGGUGGCAAAGUCAUUAAGAGCAUUGAGAUCGUGGAGCCACCAAAGCCCAAGCCACCGCCGGAGAAGCCUAAAGAGCCCGAAAAGCCUAAGCCACCCCCAGAAAAGCCCAAAGAGCCGGAAAAGCCCAAGCCACCCCCAGAAAAGCCCAAAGAGCCGGAAAAGCCCAAGCCACCUCCAGAAAAGCCGAAGGAGCCCGAAAAGCCCAAGCCACCCCCGGAAAAGCCCAAAGAGCCGGAAAAGCCCAAGCCACCUCCAGAAAAGCCGAAGGAGCCCGAAAAGCCCAAGCCACCUCCAGAAAAGCCCAAACCACUACCACCACCACCUGAACCGUGCUCGCACCCACCAGUUCCAGUGGGCUUUUGUUGUGUCCCAUGUUCGGAAGGGUACGGCGGGGGACCAUGCUACUACGGGUACGGGUACGGGUACGGGCGGCCUGUGCCCCCGCCACCUUGUUAUGAUAGCUAUGCUUACGGGUACGGAUAUGGGAAGGGGUACCCGUACAGUCGCUGCGAUUAUUUCAGUGAGGAGAACAGUACGGGUUGCACGAU
rnacentral:lncRNA from 1 species